CCGCCCGUCACCAUCACGAAAGUGGAUUGUACUAGAAGCCUGCAGGCCGACCCGCAAGGGGGGCAGCGGUCCAAGGUAUGAUCCAUGAUUGGGGUG
rnacentral:rRNA from 1 species